GUGGAUUAGAUACCCUGGUAGUCCACGCUGUAAACGAUGGAUACUUGUUGUUAGAGGUAUUGACCCCUCUAGUGACGCAGCUAACGCGUUAAGUAUCCCGCCUGGGGAGUACGGUCGCAAGAUUAAAACUCAAAGAAAUUGACGGGGGCCCGCACAAGCGGUGGAGCAUGUGGUUUAAUUCGAUGCAACGCGAAGAACCUUACCCGGGCUUGACAUGAACUGGAAGAGUGGCAGAGAUGUCCUCGCUCGCAAGAGUCGGUUCACAGGUGCUGCACGGCGGUCGUCAGCU
rnacentral:rRNA from 1 species